rnacentral:rRNA from 1 species
UGGGGAAUAUUGCACAAUGGGCGCAAGCCUGAUGCAGCCAUGCNGCGUGUAUGAAGAAGGCCUUCGGGUUGUAAAGUACUUUCAGCGGGGAGGAAGGGAGUAAAGUUAAUACCUUUGCUCAUUGACGUUACCCGCAGAAGAAGCACCGGCUAACUCCGUG